UCAUUCUUUUCUCAGCAUAUCUGUAACACUAUUAACACUCCCUAUUAAUAAUAAUCUUCAAUUUCUGAGAAACACUCAGAAGGGAAAUCCUUCCUUAAUGCGCACAAAUCUGUGGGAGACCACAGUGUCAGCACCUCCAUGUGCUCUGGUUACGGAUGUCCCCUAAGUCAAUUCCAGGCCACGGUAAAAUGACUGACAACAGGUGAAUUUUAAAGAAAAAGGGAAAGAAAGACAAAGAAAAAGGAAAGAAUGAAAGCAAAAGAAAAAUGUGCAGGUUGACAGAGAAAAGAAAAUUGAGCCAACAACCUGACAAGUUCCUCCUUGUUCCUCCCUUAUUCCCUCUCCUCCCCCUUUCCUGUUUGUGCCCCUCCUUCCUUACAGGGCAAAUGGUCCUGAUGAAACCAGUCUUUUCUUUUUUCUUUUUUUGGUACCGGGGAUUGAACUUGGGUCCUUGAGCUUUCGAGGCAGGCGGUGGAACCACUGAGCUAAAUCCCCGGCCCCAGCCUUUUCUUUUUCACCAGUAGCAACUGACUACCACUGCUCACUACACACACAAGCACACAUGCACGCAGACACACCUGCUUGUCAAUGCACACUGCAAACAUACACCCCAGCUACACACUCAUGAACACACACAAUACCCUCCCAUACACAUAGCCACAUGUGUGUACAUUUACACACACAUAUAUUCAGACACACACACACACACACACACACACACUAUAAAAAAAAGACUGAAAAAUUAAACUCAGAGAUGGGAACUACCGAGGAGGGUGGCAUGUAGGGAAUGGGAAAGGAGAUGUCCCUGCCCAAUGGCGGUGUUGCGGGUGGAUUUCGAGGCUCAAGGGCCUCAGAUGCUCAGUUUGCUUCAUCUUAGCCUCAUUUCACCCCUCCUUGCAUCACCGUCCUGCCUCCUCGGUCAUGGCUUCAGUAUUUAUUUCCCCACAUCUCUGAUCUUUUCUGUAAAUUGAGGUCUUCAGCAGAAUUCCAUGUGAAAAAAUGCCAACAGCGGCGUUCUAAUUUUUAAAAACUUCUCUGAUUAACACACUUCUCUUUUGUGGCUGAACCGGUCAUCAUAGGAAGAUCGUUUACUGGUGUUUUGCUUUCAACAGCUCUUCUGCUUCUGCAAGCAGGACUGUAACUGGAGAACCACUGGGAGGGUGUGGGCUUCCCGGCCACAGGGCGCCCUCUCUCCGGGCUCGGCUGAGGUGGCCGUCUGCACUGGCAAACAUGGUCCUGGAGAGCCAGUUGGCUCCUCGCUGGCUUAGAACAUCACUUCUUUGUGCUUCUGUUACAAGGAAAUGUGCAGAAGAACCAACUCACGUGCUCAAGAAAAAGAGAUCAGGAACCUGGUGUAUUUUGCCCAUGCUUUGGAAAAACUAAUCCAGAUCAGUUUCCCGAAGGAGCGGCGUCUGCGGGCUUGGAUCUAGUUAGUACAGCCGCAGGACCACAGCCAGAGCGGGGCCCUCCGCGCGUCGGCCGCUCACGGCGACUGGCUUUUCUUCUCAUUGUUGUAGUUUGAAAUGGAAACGCCGCACUGCUGAGAAAAUGCCAUGAAAA
ensembl:lncRNA